GGGGUUAUAGCUCAGUUGGUAGAGUGUUUGCUUCGAAUGCACAAGGCUCUGGGUUCAUUCCCCAGCACCCCCC
rnacentral:tRNA from 1 species